rnacentral:rRNA from 1 species
GCAUAUCAAUAAGCGGAGGAAAAGAAACCAACAGGGAUUGCCCUAGUAACGGCGAGUGAAGCGGCAACAGCUCAAAUUUGAAAUCUGGCCUCGGCCCGAGUUGUAAUUUGCAGAGGAAGCUUUAGGCGCGGCACCUUCUGAGUCCCCUGGAACGGGGCGCCAUAGAGGGUGAGAGCCCCGUAUAGUUGGAUGCCUAGCCUGUGUAAAGCUCCUUCGACGAGUCGAGUAGUUUGGGAAUGCUGCUCAAAAUGGGAGGUAAAUUUCUUCUAAAGCUAAAUACCGGCCAGAGACCGAUAGCGCACAAGUAGAGUGAUCGAAAGAUGAAAAGCACUUUGAAAAGAGGGUUAAAUAGCACGUGAAAUUGUUGAAAGGGAAGCGCUUGUGACCAGACUUGCGCCGGGCUGAUCAUCCGGUGUUCUCACCGGUGCACUCUGCCCGGCUCAGGCCAGCAUCGGUUCUCGCGGGGGGAUAAAGGCCCAGGGAACGUAGCUCCUCCGGGAGUGUUAUAGCCCUGGGUGCAAUGCCCUCGCGGGGACCGAGGUUCGCGCAUCUGCAAGGAUGCUGGCGUAAUGGUCACCAGCGACCCGUCUUGAAACACGGACCAAGGAGUCAAGGUUUUGCGCGAGUGUUUGGGUGUAAAACCCGCACGCGUAAUGAAAGUGAACGUAGGUGAGAGCUUCGGCGCAUCAUCGACCGAUCCUGAUGUUUUCGGAUGGAUUUGAGUAGGAGCGUUAAGCCUUGGACCCGAAAGAUGGUGAACUAUGCUUGGAUAGGGUGAAGCCAGAGGAAACUCUGGUGGAGGCUCGCAGCGGUUCUGACGUGCAAAUCGAUCGUCAAAUCUGAGCAUGGGGGCGAAAGACUAAUCGAACCAUCUAGUAGCUGGUUACCGCCGAAGU